rnacentral:lncRNA from 1 species
GUCGUUCUCGAGCGUGAAUUUUGUUGAUAACGAGUAGGCCCAGAGAAGUCAGAGGUUGAACCAACAUCGGUGGCGUGUAGCGUUAGCCUUCCUUCUCUGUCCUUAUUAAAGUAGGCUCUGCCCAACUCCUGCCUUCCACCCUGUCUCUGAUGGCACUGGCUCUGGGUCCCUACUGAACUAAGCAGAGCAGUCAAACUGGAGGUGGGAGGAGCUCAGGCUCAUGCCUCGGGGAGCAUGGUGCCUUUGGGGUGUCUUUCCGUUGUUUCAUUGGCUUAUAGACUGCUUCCAGUUUGUGGUGGGUAAAAGAAAAGUCACUGUGAUGUUCGAGGUGGGCAGAGUGGGCCUGGGGCUUACAGUAGAGCAUCUCCAGUGGGUUGUUUCCCUCCACUGGUGCCUCUGAACACAAAGCCUCCCUCUGCUUUCUCCUGCGUUCCAUUCUUGCCUGCUUUCUACUGCCUGGAAUGCCCAUUAGCGUGUAUUUGGGGAAUGGGGUUUAUCUGCUUUGUAAAUGCCUUAUUGAAAAGUAAGUGCCCUUCCAUCCCAGGCCUCUGACUGUAUUUGUUUUCCUGCCAAACUUGGGGGGGAAUGGGUCAUUUGUAUUUUGAUUUUUGUGCCUGUGGCUCUGUACUGUUGAAGGUCUCAAUUCUCUGGACUCUUCCUUAGCAUGUGUGUGACUCCUGUUGCAGUGUCACAGAGAUGAGAUGGCCUGACUCUUAUUCUCAAUAAAUGAUCUGAAUGAGCAAGAGACUA